rnacentral:rRNA from 1 species
AUUGAACGCUGGCGGCAUGCUUUACACAUGCAAGUCGAACGGCAGCGCGGGGCAACCUGGCGGCGAGUGGCGAACGGGUGAGUAAUACAUCGGAACGUACCCAGAAGUGGGGGAUAACGUAGCGAAAGUUACGCUAAUACCGCAUACGUUCUACGGAAGAAAGUGGGGGAUCUUCGGACCUCAUGCUUUUGGAGCGGCCGAUGUCUGAUUAGCUAGUUGGUGAGGUAAAGGCUCACCAAGGCGACGAUCAGUAGCUGGUCUGAGAGGACGACCAGCCAGACUGGGACUGGGACACGGCCCAGACUCCUACGGGAGGCAGCAGUGGGGAAUUUUGGACAAUGGGCGCAAGCCUGAUCCAGCAAUGCCGCGUGAGUGAAGAAGGCCUUCGGGUUGUAAAGCUCUUUUGUCAGGGAAGAAACGGCUGAGGUUAAUACCUUCGGCUAAUGACGGUACCUGAAGAAUAAGCACCGGCUAACUACGUGCCAGCAGCCGCCGUAA